GCAAGACUAAGAGCCUGUUAAAGUGAAACCAUGCAACUCAGAUUAGAUCCUGAACACAUAAUCUACCCCGUCUCCAUUUUUAAAGUCUUUAUUGAAUUAGUUACAGUAUUGCUUCUGUGUUAUGGUUUAUUUUGGUUUUUGGCAAUGAGGAAUGUGGGAUCUUAGGUGUCUGACCAGGGACUGAACCUACACCCCCUGCAUUGGAAGGUGACGUCUUAACCGCUGGACCACCAGGGAAGUCCCCAAACCCACAGUCUUUUAACUGAGAUCACACAUCUGGUUCCACAACUUAAUUAAGCUCAGGUUCUUAGUGUCUCAUCAGAUAAAGAAUUCAGUGGGAAACAAAGUGAUAAGUAAGAAGUGAAUUUAUUUAAAGAGAAACAUACUCCACAGACACUGUGGGCUAUCUCAGAAGGUGAGAGCAGCCCCAGGAUAUGAGAUUGUCAGUUUUUAUGCUGUAAUUUUUGUUCAGUCACUAAGUCAUGCCUUACUUUUUGUGAACCAAUAGACAGCAGCAUGUCAGGCCUUCCUAUCCUUCACUAUCUCCCUGACUUUGCUUAAAUUCAUAUCCUUUGAAUCAAGGAUGAGAUGGUUGGAUGGCAUCACUGACUCAAUGGACAUGAGUUUGGGUGAACUCCGGGAGUUGGUGAUGGACAGGGAGGCCUGGUGUGCUUCAGUUCAUGGGUUUGCAAAGAGUCGGACAAGACUGAGCGACUUUACUGAACUGACUGAUUAGAGGAGUCCAGGAAGUAAAGACUAUUAUCUUGCAAAUAUCUCCUGGAAUGGCCAACCUCAGGGAAGGGAUAUAUUAACCUCUUCAGGUAAAGAGAGGGUCAGGAUUUCCUGAGGCAGACCAUUAUGUGAUUGUACAUACAUAGCAAAAAAUGCUUUUGUAUAGUGUACACAGAAAAAGCAAUGAAAAGCAAAGUUUAAAGUCAAAGAAACAGAUCCAUCAUGGAGUCAGAAUUGGCUCUUCCCUGAAACAAAGCUAGCUGUUCUCUUGAACUUCAAUGUCAAAUGUCCCAAUAAACAUUUAUUCUUCAUGUAUGCUUUUUAUAGCUGCAUUUUAUAACAAUAGCCAACUUAUAAUCUGCACAUAUUUGACAUGUACAAUUUGAUAAAUUUUGACAUUGCAUACACUCAGGAAGCCAUGACCACAAUCACAAUAAUAAAUAUCCAUGUUUACUUGUUACACCCUUGUUCAUAGCAACGUUAAGAAUGUAUAAACAUAAUGUAGUAUAUACAUACCAUGGAAUAUUAUUCAGCUUUAAAAAGGAAUCUAAGCCAGGGACAAAAGGACAAGUACUAUAUGAUUCUACUCAUGUGAGAUACUUAGGGUAGUCAAAUUCAUAGAGACAGAAAGGAAAAUGGUGGUCCCCAAGGACUAAAGGGAUGGAUGAACAGGAAAUUAUUCUUUAAUGGUUGCGUAAUUUUCAUUUGGAAAAUGAAACAAAUUUUGGAGAUGGACAAUGGUUGCACAACAAUGUGACUAUACUUAAUGCCACUGAACCAUGCACUUUAAAAUAGUUGAGAUGUUGAACUGUGACUGAUAUAGACUGAACUGUGUCCUUCUAAAAUCCAUAUGGCAGCAGUGGCUUCGUCACUAAGUCAUGUCCAACUCUUGUGACCCCAGGGACUGUAGCCCACCAGGCUUCACUGUCCAUGUGAUUUCCCAAGCAUGAAUACUACAGUGGGUUGCCAUCUCCUUCUCCAGCAUAUCUUCUAG
ensembl:lncRNA